rnacentral:rRNA from 1 species
UAAUACGUAGGGUCCAAGCGUUAUCCGGAAUCACUGGGCGUAAAGCGUGCGUAGGUGGGAAUUUAAGUGUGAUGUUAAAUCGUGUGGCUCAACCAUAUCGAUGCAUCGCAUACUGGGUUCCUAGAGGACAGCAGAGGCAAGUGGAAUUAGCAGUGUAGCAGUGAAAUGCGUAGAGAUUGCUAGGAACACCAAUGGCGAAGGCAGCUUGCUGGGCUACUCCUGACACUGAGGUACGAAAGCGUGGGGAGCGAACAGGAUUAGAUACCCUGGUAGUCCACGCCGUAAACGAUGCAUACUAGUCUUAUGGGGUAUCGACCCCCUGUGAGACGCAGCUAACGCGAUAAGUAUGCCGCCUGGGAAGUACGGCCGCAAGGCUA